AAUAUUGGACAAUGGGGGGAACCCUGAUCCAGCCAUGCCGCGUGUUUGAAGAAGGUCUUCUGAUUGUAAAGCACUUUUAGUAGGGAGGAAGAUUUGUAGGCUAAUCCCUUGCAAUAUUGACUUUACCAACAGAAUAAGCACCGGCUAACUUCGUGCCAGCAGCCCCGGUAAUACGAAGGGUGCAAGCGUUAAUCGGAAUUACUGGGCGUAAAGCGCGCGUAGGUGGUUCGUUAAGUUGGAAGUGAAAGCCCCGGGCUUAACCUGGGAAUUGCUUUCAAAACUGACGAGCUAGAGUACGGUAGAGGGUAGUGGAAUUUCCUGUGUAGCGGUGAAAUGCGUAGAUAUAGGAAGGAACAUCAGUGGCGAAGGCGACUACCUGGACUGAUACUGACACUGAGGUGCGAAAGCGUGGGGAGCAAAC
rnacentral:rRNA from 1 species